ensembl:lncRNA
CACAAGGCUCAGGUCACACAGUCACACCUGUGCAGACCUAAACUAGGAUCUCCCAAGCUGGAUGUGUAGCUAGUUGCCAAAAGUGCAAAGUCUCAUUGCAGAAUUUUGCCAACACAAAGGAAUUCAGUGCAACAAGCAGCAGCAGAAAUAACUCCCAGCUUAAACUCAUCACCUUUCUCUUCUUAUAUAUUCACAGUCUGACCCCAUGUUCUCCAGUUUUUACAGUGACUUAUGGAGUUCUUAACCUCCUUCUCUAGUGAACACCAAACUCCAUGCAAAAUCUCAAGAUGCUCAUGACCUCUUUUGGCUUUUUCGAUGGCUUUGCAUAGUAAUCUGCUCUUGGAAACUUCCUCUCCCCUAUACAGCUAUAGAGAAUCAUUAGGGCACUCACAGGGUUUAAAUAGGGAAACGUUACUCUGUGCAUCGAUGUGAAAUAGGCUUUUCAGCCUUGCAAUUUUUCCUGGUACCUCCCAACUUUUUCCAGCUUUGCAGCAAUCUCUGAACAUGCAAACUGGUCAGAAAUAGCCGGUGAGCCUCAGACCACCAGGACCAGCUCCCUUUCUGGAAGUUCUCUGAGCAGUUGUCCUGCAAAACACCCAUGCGUUUUGUUCCUUGAAAGCACCCGAAGCGCAGAGCAGAGCAGCAGGUAACAGCACUGCAGUGCAAACUGCACCCCUGGCACUGAUCUUGGGGGUAUUCGCCCUGCUGCAGCUCUCCUAUGCUUCCCACCUGCCUUCAGGAAUGCUUUUCUACCACGAGAAGCUCGCAGCAGGGUUCUGACAGCAGAUACCCGAAGACCAAACUUCAUUCUUUCAAUUCUCCGUGAAUUUAGAAGUUGUUCUGAGAGACCGUCCGGCACGGCGGGCUCCCACUGACCUGAAGGACCGCCUCCUUUCUCUUCGCAGCCAUUCUUCCACAGCAACAGCAGGUCGCUGCGCAGCGCCCAGUCGGCGUCUUCUAAUUACGUGACUCCAACCGCUGCCAGCCUGCACCACACGGAGCCUUUUACCUGUCGCUGCUCAUCUAUCUGGGACCCGGCAGGAGCAGGGCUGGAGCCGACGUGCUGCUGCAGCACCCGAGUCAAAACGCCUGUGGAAGGAGCAGACUGGGCCCGGGAUCAGGCCCAGUCAACAUGGGUUCAUGAAAUGUAGUUCCUGCUUAACAAACCUGAUGCCACCUUAUGACAAAGUGACCCACUUAGUGGAUGAGGGUAAGGCUGUUGAUGUGGUUUGCCUGGACUUCAGUAAAGCCUUUGACCCCCACAGCAUCCUUGUGGAGAAGCUGGCAGCCCACAGUUUGGAUAGGAAUACACUCUGCUGGGUGAAACACUGGCUGGAUGGCCAGGCCCAAAGAGUUGUGGUCAAUGGAGUUAAAUCCAGGUGGUGGCCGGUCAUGAGUGGUGUCCCCCAGAGCUCAGUACUGGGGCCACUACUAUUUAACACCUUUAUCAGUGAUCUUGUUGAGGGGAUUGAGCGCACUCUCAGUAAGUUUGCAGAGAGCACCAAGUUGGGAGGGAGCAUUGAUCUGCCAGAGGGGAGAAAGGCACUACAGAGGGACCUGAAUAGACAGGGUUGAUGGGCCAAGGCAAACUG